rnacentral:rRNA from 1 species
ACUCCUACGGGAGGCAGCAGUGGGGAAUUUUGGACAAUGGGCGAAAGCCUGAUCCAGCAAUGCCGCGUGAGUGAAGAAGGCCUUCGGGUUGUAAAGCUCUUUUGUCAGGGAAGAAACGGUGAGAGCUAAUAUCUCUUGCUAAUGACGGUACCUGAAGAAUAAGCACCGGCUAACUACGUGCCAGCAGCCGCGGUAAUACGUAGGGUGCAAGCGUUAAUCGGAAUUACUGGGCGUAAAGCGUGCGCAGGCGGUUUUGUAAGUCUGAUGUGAAAUCCCCGGGCUCAACCUGGGAAUUGCAUUGGAGACUGCAAGGCUAGAAUCUGGCAGAGGGGGGUAGAAUUCCACGUGUAGCAGUGAAAUGCGUAGAUAUGUGGAGGAACACCGAUGGCGAAGGCAGCCCCCUGGGUCAAGAUUGACGCUCAUGCACGAAAGCGUGGGGAGCAAACAGGAUUAGAAACCCCUGUAGUCC